UUUUGUUUUGCUUGGUUCAAAGGGAAGAAAUAGGACCAGUGGGUAGACAGAGGAAGAAUUUAGCAAUGUAGAAAGGAAAUCUAACAAUAAUUAGCAAUUUCUCUUCCUAUUCCCCCAAACACAUGUGCAUAUGAGUAGUUACAUUUACAUACACAGGCAUACAUACACACAUUUUUGAGUUAUAACUUGGAGGAUACACCACCCAUAAAGGUCUACAAAGAUGAAUCUACUUUAAUAGGAGGAAAGGGAUCCUCUGUUUGAUUUUUCUGAUUCCUUCUUAUCUUUCCAAUCUUUUUUGCAUUUUGCUACCCUUCAUGGACUCUCUAAUGUGUCUUGCUAUUUUUCUCAGACAAUAUUCUUUAUCUCAGACAGGACCUUUUCACGAACUGCCACCAUGUCUGGAAUGUCCUCCCCAUUCCCUUCCUUCUCCUGGCUUCUCUAGUAUCUUCAAGACUCCAUUCAAAUCCCGUUUUCUGCAGAAAAUCCCUUUUUCUUCAUGCACUAUUUCUCUUUAUCUCAUACAUGUUACAUUUAUCUCUUGAAUGGAUGUUUUUUUUACAUGUUCUCUUCAUUAGAAUGCAGCUUUUUUGAACUCAGGGAUCAUGUUUUUGCCUUUCAUUGUAUCUCAGUCCUGGAUCAUAUUAAAUAUUUUUAACAAAUUCUGGUUCUUUAGUUGGUUGACUUACUGUAAGAAGAAUGGGUACACAAGUGAAGAUUUGUGCUGAUAACAAAGAUAAAGAAAUUAGGCCAAAAUUAGGGAGAGAGAUCUCAACAAAUACUCAGUGACCAAGUUGGGAGAGAGAAUCCUUUCCUGUGACUAAAAGGCCUGGCACCUUAUCCACUGCACCACUAAGCUGGAGGACCUUCACUUCUAAAAGAGCAACUGAGGCUGAAGUAUGGGGAAGAAAAUAACUGAAAGAAAAUCUUAGGAGGAUUUGGGAGUAAUUAAACCUGAGCAAUCAAGUGAGAACAAUACCUGCUACAGCGUACUCGACCUAAUAAUCCACACAAAUUUGAAAAGGAAAUAAAAGCAGUGAAAGAAUAGUGUCUAUCUCCAGAUUAUGACAUGGAGUGAAGUUGACAGUCCAUUGACCUGGUCCAUCAAUACUUAUAUCUGAGACAAUGUAAAUGGCUAUGAUCUAGGCCCAGAAUUGGAUGAGAAGAAUACUGCAAGAUAAAUUAUGUUUUGGAAACUGCAUACCAUUUUCAAUAACCCCAACUUCACCCUGAAAUAAAGACCUAUUUUUUAAAACAUCAAUGUUUUUCAGGUGAUACUGUCUGAUUAUGAAUCACAGAAUGCCAGAUUUCCAAAGAAUCAAAAUUAUAGGUCACUCAGGAAGGUAGGGGAGACAUGCAGGCUGGUUUAAAACAAAUAACCAAAGCUAUUAAACAUAUUAAGUGAUUCUCUUCUGUUUUCUGGCUUUUGGCUGGCGAAUACACUAGUCCCAAGUCAUAAUGACAUCACUUAGAAUCAUGGGCCAAGAAACCUGAUCCAGUGGAAAUUAAUAAAUAGAAAUUUUCUACCAAAACCUUGCCCCAUUGAUAUUUAUCAAGCAAAUGCCAACAGGUGUUAUUGUCAAAGCUAAUUGAAUAUCACCAAU